AGGAUCAUUAUCGUACAACUGAGGUGCAAAGGCUGUCGCUGACCCCCCAAAGGUCGUGCACGCUCGAGCACUCUCACACAAUCCAUCUCACCUUUGUGCAUCACCGCGUGGGUCCCCUUUGCGGGAGGGCUCGCGUUUUCACAUAAUACCCGAUACAGUGUAGAAUGUUUCUUUUGCGGCCACACGCAAUCAAUACAACUUUCAACAACGGAUCUCUUGGCUCUCGCAUCGAUGAAGAACGCAGCGAAAUGCGAUACGUAAUGUGAAUUGCAGAAUUCRGUGAAUCAUCGAAUCUUUGAACGCACCUUGCGCCCCUUGGCAUUCCGAGGGGCACACCCGUUUGAGUGUCGUGAAAUCUUCAAAAACCCCUUUUCUUUGACCCAUUUCAAAGUCGGGAAAAGGAUUUUUUGGACUUGGAGGUUCAAUGCUUGCCCUUUCUUUCGAAAGCGAGCUCCUCUCAAAUAAAUUAGUGGGGUCCGCUUUGCUGAUCCUUGACGUGAUAAGAUGUUUCUACGUUUUGGGUUAAGCACUGUCCCUUGGAUGCCUGCUCCUAACUGUCUCAUG
rnacentral:rRNA from 1 species